rnacentral:rRNA from 1 species
UCGGGGUGAGUAGAGUGGCGAACGGGUGAGUAACACGUGGGCAACCUGCCCCUCGCAGGGGGAUAACCGGAGGAAACUCCGGCUAAUACCCCGUAAGCUUUAAGGGUCGCAUGGCCCUGAAAGGAAAGGUAGCUUCGGCCAUCCGGCGAGGAAUGGGCCCGCGGUGCAUUAGCUAGUUGGUGAGGUAACGGCUCACCAAGCCGGCGACGGGUAGGGGGCGUGAGAGCGUGGCCCCCCACACGGGCACUGAGACACGGGCCCGACUCCUACGGGAGGCAGCAGUGAGGAAUCUUGGGCAAUGGGCGCAAGCCUGACCCAGCGACGCCGCGUGGGCGACGAAGGCCUUCGGGUUGUAAAGCCCUUUUCUACCGGACGAGCGAGGACGGUACGGUAGGAAGAAGUCACGGCUAACUACGUGCCAGCAGCCGCGGUAAAACGUAGGUGGCAAGCGUUAUCCGGAAUCACUGGGCGUAAAGGGCAUCUAGGCGGUCGGGUAAGUCGCGUGUGAAAGCCUCCGGCUCAACCGGGGGAGGACAUGCGAGACUGCCGGGCUUGAGGGUCGGAGAGGGACGCGGAAUUCCCGGUGUAGUGGUGAAAUGCGUAGAGAUCGGGAGGAACACCAGUGGCGAGGGCGGCGUCCUGGCCCGACACCUGACGCUGAAGUGCGAAAGCGUGGGGAGCGAACGGGAUUAGAUACCCCGGUAGUCCACGCUGUAAACGAUGGUGACUAGGUGUGGGGGGGCAUAAACCCCCUCCGUGCCGCAGCCAACGCGAUAAGUCACCCGCCUGGGGACUACGGCCGCAAGGCUAAAACUCAAGGAAUUGACGGGGGCCCGCACAAGCGGUGGAGCAUGUGGUUUAAUUCGACGCAACGCGAAGAACCUUACCUGGGCUCGAACGGCUUCUGACCGCCUCUGGAAACAGGGGUUUUCCCGCGGGGGACAGGAGUCGAGGUGCUGCAUGGCUGUCGUCAGCUCGUGUCGUGAGAUGUUGGGUUAAGUCCCGCAACGAGCGCAACCCUUGUCCUGUGUUGCAACCCGAAAGGGGCACUCUCAGGAGACCGCCAGCGAUAAGCUGAGGAAGGUGGGGAUGACGUCAAGUCAUCAUGGCCUUUAUGUCCAGGGCUACACACGUGCUACAAUGGGCGGUACAAACCGCAGCAAACCCGCGAGGGGGAGCAAAUCGGAAAAAACCGUUCUCAGUUCGGAUUGCAGGCUGCAACUUGCC